GCAGCCGCGGUAAUUCCAGCUCCAAUAGCGUAUAUUAAAGUUGUUGCAGUUAAAACGCUCGUAGUCGGAUUUCGGGGCGGUGCGACCGGUCUGCCGUUGGGUAUGCACUGGUCGGCGCGUCCUUCCUUCCGGAGACCGUGCCUACUCUUAACUGAGCGGGGACGGGAGACGGAUCGUUUACUUUGAAAAAUCAGAGUGUUUCAAGCAGGCAGCUCGCUUUGCAUGGAUUAGCAUAGGAUAAUGUAAUAGGACUUUGGUGCUAUUUUGUUGGUUUCGAACACCGAAGUAAUGAUUAAUAGGGACAGUCAGGGGCACUCGUACUCCGCCGAGAGAGGUGAAAUUCUCAGACCAGCAGAAGACGAACCACUGCGAAAGCAUUUGCCAGGGAUGUUUUCACUGAUCAAGAACGAAAGUUAGGGAUCGAAGACGAUCAG
rnacentral:rRNA from 1 species